GACGGGCUCCAGCCGCGGUUCGUGCGCUCGCUCUGAGCCCCCGCGAUCAGGUGGGAUGGAAGAAGCCUGUCAGGGCCUCUGCAUACAUUGAUCCCUUCAGAUUAUUACGUGGCUGUCUCCUCUUCAUUCAGAAACCAGCAAAAUGUUUCUUCAUACAUUAACAUUCCUGGCAUCAAGAACACAGAACUCACUGUGAAAUGAACAUUCUCACUGCAAACUGAGAAGAGGCAAGCCCAUUCCUCCCACAUCUGCUACCCAUUCUUUUUUUAUAAGGGGAAAAAGAGGUCUCUGCUUGAACAUGUAAUUUAAAUAAAUGAUCUUCGACCAUGAAGCAAAUAAAUAGUCCUACAAAAAGGCAUUAUAAAAGAUGGAUUCCUUACUCCUAACACAGUACUUCUAAAUGGAGAAAGCUGGUUUUCAAGAAUGGAACAAUUAGAAGUCAAUGCAAAUACAUAGCUAUUUUCACUGCACAUAAUAUUUGAAAGAUUCAUCAAUAACUAAGUCAAUAGUUCCUUUGGAAGAAAUCAAUUCAGCACUAC